rnacentral:misc_RNA from 1 species
AACGAGGCCGACCUGCGGCUGAGUUACCUGCGGAAGGAUCAUUACAGAGUUCAUGCCCUCACGGGUAGAUCUCCCACCCUUGAAUACUAUACCUUUGUUGCUUUGGCGGGCCGCUUUGGCUACUGGCUCUGGCUAGUAAGUGCCCGCCAAAGAACCCCAAAACUCUGAAUAUUAGUGUCGUCUGAGUACUAUAUAAUAGUUAAAACUUUUAACAACGGAUCUCAGAUCGGAAGAGCACAC